CCUACGGGAGGCAGCAGUUGGGAAUUUUGCACAAUGGACGAAAGUCUGAUGCAGCAACGCCGCGUGCGGGAUGAAGAUUUUCGGAUUGUAAACCGCUUUUAUUUGGGAGUAACUGUUUGAACGUACCAAAUGAAUAAGCACCGGCUAACUCCGUGCCAGCAGCCGCGGUAAUACGGAGGGUGCAAACGUUGUCCGGAAUUACUGGGCGUAAAGCGCAUGUAGGUGGUCUAAUAAGUGAACGAUUAAAUACCGACGCUUAACGCCGGAAAGGUUAUUCAUACUGUUAGACUCGAGGAAGACAGGGGCAGAUGGAACUUUAAGUGUAGGAGUGAUAUCCGUAGAUAUUUAAAGGAACACCAAUGGCGAAGGCAGUCUGCUGGGUCUUUUCUGACACUGAGAUGCGAAAGUGUGGGGAGCAAACGGGAUUAGAUACCCGGUAGUCCACACUGUAAACGAUGCUCACUAGGUCUUGGAGGGUAUCGACCCCCUUUUGGACCGUAAGCUAACGCGUUAAGUGAGCCGCCUGGGGAGUACGAACGCAAGUUUAAACUCAAAGGAAUUGACGG
rnacentral:rRNA from 1 species